GCACCAGUGGUCUAGUGG
rnacentral:siRNA from 1 species